CACUGGAGAAAUGCUGCUUCCGAGGCAUGACAAAACGGAAGUAAGCCCUGGAACACCCUAAACUGCCAGAAAGGGAGACAGACUUUUUCCAAAGUGCCCACCGGAAGACAAAAGAGAGCUUGGCAGUACACUUCCGGUCAAAUCUGUGUCUCCUCUCCCAGACCCUCUGAAAGAAGAGUACCAUGGUCCACGCUACGUACGAUCUCGGUGCGGGUAGAGGCAGGUGGAUCCCCGGCAGGCCCAUCCAUCUGAUUUGCUGUCAUACAGAUACUCCAACAAAGGCUACUUAGGGGAGAAAGGGAAAGUUCCAGAAUUCAGUACAACAUCGUGUUGGGGAAGUCAAGGCAGAAGGGACCUGAAGGUGCUCACGACACAGCCACAAUCAGAAACUGGAGUCGUCUGUGUACAGAACAAUCCUGCCCACAGUGAAGCGGGUCUUCCUACAUCAGCUACCUAGUCAAGAUAAUCCCUCAUAGGCCUAGAGACCCAUCUCCCAAAUCAUUCUAGAGCCUGUCAAGCUGGCAACUAAUGACCUCGAGCUCCUGAUCCUCCUGCCACCACCGCUGUGCCCUGAGAUCACAUUACCCUGUGGAGUGCCACAGAGGGGAAUUGUUUUGUAAAAGAGCUGGUCUGUGCUCUUUAUCAGGGUCAGUUCCAUGAAGGACCGAGUUGGUCGGUCACUGUGCGGGUUGUGAGGUCAUUGAGAGGAAGAUGUGAGCCAGGUCUGGAAUGGGAAACCUCCACAGAGGACAUUGUUAGACAGUGGCUGCGAGCUGAGCAUGGGGGCUAGAAGGAAGAAGGUAGUAAGGGAGAGAGAGUCAAAGAAAUCUAUUCAUCUAAGACUAAAGAGGCAUGGUACGUGUGUGUAUAAAUGCAGGUCAGGGGUAAGUGUUCGGAACUGAUUCAUCUAGGGGCUGGGGAAUAACCAGUGGUAGAGUGCUUGCCGGGCAUGUCCAAGGUCCUGGAGGCCACCACCAGUACCAAAAAAAUAAGAAUAAAAAACCCAAACAAUAAGACAAACCAAAAGGGGGGAAAAAAGCAUUCAAAUCCAGGAAAGGGGGUGAAGAGUGAUCCUUUGCAUUAUUCUUACGUCUUCUAUGAAUAUGAAAGCCCUUCAAAAUAGAGCAUUAAAAAAGAUCAGAUGUUCCCUGUGGAGAUUUGCCAGAAGACAAUGAAAUAGUGGGCUGUUUUUAUCCCACUGAGAGCUGACUUGAGCAUUCCUUCAUGGAGCUUGUGUUAUGUUAUCUGCCCUGUGCCAGAGACUGUGUCCAGUUAUGAUCCUGCAUGCUGUUUCCACCCAGUAAGAUCGAAAGGACACGAAAGAAUUCUAACCUCCUUUUAGGAGCCAAGACGUCCUUGCAACCCACUCUCCUCGUUAAUAUAAUGUAUGUAAUGAAGUAGAUGCUUUCUAGCUCUAACAUAUGUGAGUGAUUCUCGUUCAUAUCUUUUCUUUCCUUGCUCUCUCUCUCCUGUCUCUGUCUCUGUCUCUGUCUCUGUCUCUCUCUCUCUCUCUCUCUCUCUCUCUCUCUCUCUCUCUCUCUCUCUCUUCUGGAACUUCUUUGUCCUGACUGUAACUGAAUAAGGAUAUUGUGGAUGCUUCUACAGUGAGAUCAGAGAAGCAAACUGCAGUGACUUCUUGUGUAGAAGGAGAGCUGACAUCCAUCCAAAGAGGUCUCAGCUGGCAGAAUCCCUUCCUGUGUCCUGAACCUUUGUUUCUCUAAAGCCCCAACAUUUGGGCAGGUUGAGUCCCCAGCCAAGCAGCAGGCCAGACAUGCUAGUUUUAAGCACUGGGACUUUAUGCUUCUGAUCACCCAUGCUUGUUCUCGGUUUGGGGAACUGAGAAUUGCACCUCUCCUUCAUUGCAGGCUGGGAGCUGAGGCUCUGGAGUUCUGGGACAUUUUUUUCCACAAGCCCAAAGCUUGUAAUAAAGGUGAUAAAAUAAAACCAAAGACCUACCCAGCAAAA